rnacentral:rRNA from 1 species
AUUGAACGCUGGCGGCAGGCUUAACACAUGCAAGUCGAACGAGUGGCGGACGGGUGAGUAAUGCUUGGGAAUCUAGCUUAUGGAGGGGGAUAACUACGGGAAACGGUAGCUAAUACCGCAUACCCUCAGAUGUGCCCAGAUGGGAUUAGCGAGGAGGUGGGGUAAAGGCUCACCUAGGCGAAGAUCCCUAGCUGGUCUGAGAGGAGGACCAGCCAGACUGGAACUGAGACACGGUCCAGACUCCUACGGGAGGCAGCAGUGGGGAAUAUUGCACAAGGGGCGCAAGCCUGAUGCAGCCAUGCCGCGUGUGUGAAGAAGGCCUUCGGGUUGUAAAGCACUUUCAGCGGGGAGGCGUUACCCGCAGAAGAAGCACCGGCUAACUCCGUGCCAGCAGCCGCGGUAAUAC